GAAGACAUCACUAAUCGUCGGAGUAUGGAAGUGGUCCUCUGGAAGCCUCCAGGAGAUUUUGCAAAAGGCUUAGCACCAAAGUCAGAGUUUUGUUGGAAAGGUGAAGACAGUGUUGGCAAUUCCAAUAUGAUGAGGUCAUGUGAUCAGACCAUCACAAGGCCCUCUGUACAGGAAACGUUAUACAAACAAAGUGAAGAAUCAGUUACCAUGGAUACCGAACUGUUUGACGACCUGGAUGAUGACAUGCAGUUAUGACACAGGAACUGACCAAUCACAGGUUUACAUUGCUUCACAGAUGUCCUGAUUGGCCAGCUUUGUCAUUUAAAAUUAAGUAGAGAAGGACUAGGGACCAAUGACAGACAGAAAAUGUUGGCGAAUCUCAAAACGGCUAGAUAAUCAGAUUGAUGUGAUUGUCCAAACAAUCUUAAUGAAAUGGGCAAGGUUGGAAUGAGGCAGAUGGUUACGGUUGAGUGUCAGAAUGAACAUUAAGGUAUACAGAUUUGACCAAUCCGUAUGAGGAAAAAAAGCUGGACGUUGACAUUUUCUCACCAAGAGUGUGGAAAAAUAAAUGUUCUUUACUAGAAAAAGGAAACUGAAAAAAAAAAUCUUGUUUGUGAGAAGUAAUGAUAAGUGUUUGAUUGUAUUUACUGAUGAGAAGCUGUCACAAGUUUUUUUGUACAUGUAUAUAUAAAAUGUACGUACGUAGAUCAAGUCAAGAAGGAUGAAGAACCAGAUAAAUCAUAGUUGUGCGAUCAGAACCCUAACGAGGACACUCCGAAACAGAACCCUAACGAGGACACUCUGAAACAGAAUCCUAACGAGGACACUCUGAAACAGAACCCUAAUGAGGACACUCUGAAACAGAACCCUAACGAGGACACACUGAAACAGAACCCUAAAGAGGACACUCUGAAACAGAACCCUAACGAGGACACACUGAAACAGAACCCUAAAGAGGACACACUGAAACAGAUGUCUUUUCUGGUGUUCGAUCGUCCUCAUUUGUGCAUCACAUAUCUUUUUUAUACUGACGAAGAAGCAAUGUUAGUUCAGUUCAGAAUAAAAAGUCAACAUUGUCAUUGCCGUUAUUAAAAUGAUGUAGUAGAAAUGCAUUGAUCUCAGGAAGAUUAUAUCAAAUGCAUUUUUUUGUCACUUCCUUUGAGGUUUCAUUUUCUUUUAAAUAGUAAUAUUGGCAAUCUGCGAUGUAGAUGAUGUGAAAUUGUCAAUGUUUCAAUGUUUGAAACUUUUUAACUUUUCGAUUAAGAUCGGAACACAGUGUUUAACCAAGUUUUUGUGACAUUGGUCCAUCACUUGGUUACUUACAAGAAAUUCACAAAAACAAUCGGGGUUUAGUAUCGUACAGUAUAUGUCUUCAUCAAUACAAAACAUCAGAGAGGUCAAUAUAACACCAAAAACUAGUUCUAGUGAAGUUAUUCUUCAUACCUGUUAAAUAUUGAAACUGAAAAUAUAGGACUGGACAAACUUGCAUGCUUUUUUUGUAUAAACUUGAAGAAAAUAAUACUGUUCUAAUUACAAUUGACAUUUCAAUGACUGAAAAUAAAGAUUUGAUGCAUUA